rnacentral:rRNA from 1 species
UUUAAAGAGAGUUUGAUCCUGGCUCAGGACGAACGCUGGCGGCGUGCCUAAUACAUGCAAGUCGAACGAACGGAGGAAGAGCUUGCUCUUCCAAAGUUAGUGGCGGACGGGUGAGUAACACGUGGGCAACCUGCCUGUAAGUUGGGGAUAACUCCGGGAAACCGGGGCUAAUACCGAAUGAUAAGUAGUGACGCAUGUCAUCACUUUGAAAGAUGGUUUCGGCUAUCGCUUACAGAUGGGCCCGCGGUGCAUUAGCUAGUUGGUAGGGUAAAGGCCUA